AAUGAGUUCAGCCCAGAUGUGGGAAUUUUGGCAAACAAGAGAAGGGAGCAGAUUUAAACCCAGUGGGAGUUUCCCCCCACAGAGGGACAAAAGGACCCCCUGAUGAUCCUCUAAUCGCCUGAGCCAAGGUGUCAAACUGGGUGUGGGUCCCAAUCAGCCAGAGUUUCAGGUGAGCUCAUUGUGAAACCUGCACCCAACGUUGGCAUCCUCGAAAGAGUGACCUUUGACCUUUAGAUGCAGAUGGACUGCUGAGUCUUGUCCCGUGGAGGUGGCUCUUCUAUGUUGUGCCAUCCGCUUGUGAAGUGGCUCGCGCUUGCAAAUACAAAUAUUUUUUAAAGUAUUUUUUGAAAUAAGAAUUUGUAAAAAAAAAUAAAUACAAAAAAACACGCUAUUUGUGCCUUUCCAAAUAUCGUAUUCGGGUUCAGCUCCACUCCUACUUUUCACAUUUGACCAACUUCUAGAUGGCAUAAUUUUGUUAGAGGUCUUAGCUCAACAGGGAGAAACAAAGGCAUUGUUGUAAAGGUUUGACAAACAUCACAUAAUGUUGGAAUGUUAUAAAGUACAUAAUUGUUUUUUAUCUUAAUUUCCCUUUUUUUUUUUUUUAAAAAAGUUCUUUGAAUUGUUGCCACAUAAUUUAAUUUCAGUUCUCAACAUUUUAAUUUUAACUAACAGAAUCAGCUUAAUGCAGAAAUCAAUAAGCUCCUCAGGAAACUCCAGCCAUACAGAUAUUUUCACAAAAUCUAAUGGACAUAAAAUUGUAUUUGUGCAUUUCCAAAGAGCUACAAGAGGGGGGUUUAUUUGUAUGUCCAUGCUUGCCUCAGCAUGUUUCUAUAAAAAGUCACACAUAUCACACAUAUUUCCCAUUUUACUAAUUAACUUGAUAUCUCUGCAUAAAUAUGUUCACGUUGAUAUUUGUUUGAUACCUUUUUCUCUUUUUUUAAAUGAAUCAUGGCUUUCUCUCCCACUGCCUUCUUUAACUUGGAGGCCUUUAAAGACAUGAAAGCUCAGUUGUGCGUCUUUGACUCUCUUUAAGGUUUUUGACAUUGAAGUCUGGAACCAAACAUGCUUUCAGGUGGAGGAGCAGCAGCACAGUUGGCCAUUGUAAACUGAGUGUGUA
ensembl:lncRNA